UGUGAUCAGAACUCAGACUCUCUCUCUCUGUGUUAGAGUGAGAAACUGCGACAGAGAGUUUUAGAGAGAGAAAGCGAGAGGAGAGAGAGUGAGCAGAGUUCGGAUCGAGCACCCUUCUGUAUCGGCUUCUAGGGUUUCUCUUUCUCUUCCGACUGAUCGAAACCCUAAUUUUCAUUUAUCUGGAUCUCGAUUUGUACACAGAUCGAUCAAUCUGGUAAACAUCUUGUUCUUGGCUCGUCUUGUUUAUCAGCCCCUUGCUGCACCUAAAGCCCUAGUUCUGUUCAAUUCGCUGUGAUUUUUUUGUAAAUCACUUUAUCGGAUUGAAAAUUAGGGUUUUCGAUUUCCGAUUUCAUGAGUCGCUGUUGGUCGAGCCCUAGGCUUUGAACCAACUCGAUUUGCAUGGUCGAUGAAAAAGAAUCUAGGGUUUUGAGCGAGAUCGAGGAGUUAGGGUUUUUUGGGGAUUGUUUCAUGUAUGGCUUCAGGGACUUUCGGUGCCGGUGAAUCGAGAGAGAGGCUUAGAUGGGUAGAUAGUAACAAGGUCUACAAGAGAAAGUUUCACAACAAAGGCCUCAAAACCACCACCGCCACCGCCACCGCCACCGCGAAUACCAAUCCCGCCACCGACAACGGCAAUAACGCCAACACCGUCGCCACCGCCGACAAUAACGACGCCGUUCCUCAGCAGUCUUCUCAAACGUUAGCUACAGAGGAUGCGAAUUCGUGUCAACAGCAGCUGACUCUGUCGAGAUUAGAUGUGGUUUCUGACGUUUCGUCUAGCCAAAAUAGGCCAUCCCAGGUUACUGCUCCGAAUGGCUUCGAACCGCCCAAUGGAAAUGGGGCUGUGAAGCCGAUUAUUACGAAAGUCGAGAAUCGAGUUAGGAUUGAUUUGGAAGCAGCGAGGGAGAAGAAUGAGAUUGGUACGCUCAAGAGGAAGCUAGUGAAUGAGCUUGAUCAGGUGAGGGGUCUAGUGAAGGAGCUUGAAGCUAAGGAGGUUCAGCUUUCUGGGUAUUCUCUUGCUGUUGUUGUUGGUGGUGGUGGUGGUGGUUAUAGUCAUUCACAGUACUCAGGCAAUGAUGGGAGGGUUUUAGCGAGAGUGAAUUCAGAGGUGGGUUCAGUGGGUCAUCAUGAUUCGAGGCCUUUUCAGCAACUAAGUGUUUCGGUGAUGGAGAACAAUCAUGGGGUUGGUGAAUUUAUUGAGAAAGAGAAGAGAACUCCGAAGGCUAAUCAAUAUUAUCGAAACUCGGAGUUUUUGCUUGGAAAGGAUAGGUUACCGCCUGCAGAAAGCAACAAGAAGUUGAAAUCCAAUGGUGGGAAGAAACAUGGCCGCGAAAUGGGAUAUGGGUUUGGUAUGGAUAAAUAUACCAGUCAAGCAUUGAAGAGUUGUAACAAUUUGCUCGCAAGGUUGAUGAAGCACAAGCAUGGUUGGGUGUUUAAUACGCCAGUCGAUGCCAAGGCACUUGGGCUCCAUGACUAUCAUAUUAUAAUUAACCACCCAAUGGAUUUGGGCACAGUUAAGAGUAGGCUAUCAAAAAACUGGUACAAGUCUCCAAGAGAAUUCGCCGAGGAUGUGAGACUUACAUUCCGUAAUGCCAUGACAUAUAAUCCAAAGGGGCAGGAUGUUCACCUUAUGGCAGAGGAGUUGUCGAAUAUUUUCGAAGAGAAGUGGGCAGCUAUAGAAUCCGAGUAUAACCUUGAUUGGAGGUAUGAACUGGUUCAUGAUGUGGGUUUGCCUACUCCUACUUCGAGAAAGGUUCACCCUCCUCCACCACCACUACAGAUUCCUGAUGUGAGGAGUUUGGAGAGAGCAGAAUCCGUGACAGGAAAACUGAAACCCCAUGCUCCAGUGGCCAGGACUCCGGUUCCAAAAAAGCCUAAAGCUAAAGACCUUCACAAAAGGGACAUGACUUAUGAGGAGAAGCAGAGGCUCAGCACAAACCUUCAGAGUUUACCCACAGAAAAACUGGAUAACAUAGUCCAGAUCAUUAAGAAGAGGAAUUCAGCACUUUCUCAACAUGAUGAUGAGAUUGAAGUGGACAUUGACAGUGUUGAUGCAGAAACACUUUGGGAGCUUGAUAGGUUUGUGACCAAUUACAAGAAGAGUUUGAGUAAGAUCAAAAGGAAAGCUGAAAUUGCUCUUCAAGCAAGAGCAGAAACUGCAACUGGUGUCCCAGGAAUGAACCCAGCUCCAGCCAGUGUGCAGGCACCAAAAGAAUCUAAAAUAGGUGAACAGAAUGCUGCUACUGCCUCUCCUGCUCAAGGAGAAAGGAAAGGGGAUAACGUUAGUAGGUCAAGUAGUUCAAGCAGUUCUAGCAGCGACUCUGGUUCUUCUUCAAGUGAUUCUGAUAGCGAUAGUACCUCUGCUUCUGGAUCAGAUGCAGGGCAUUCACCUAGGACUUGAGUGGAUUCAAUUAAGUUCACAAGGUCACUCCAUCAACCCGUUUGGCAAAACUGCUAAAGAAAUCAUAGCAGCUUGUCAGCAAGGCCUCCUUUAUACACAGAGAUAACCAUGAAGUUAUGGUUAUUCCUCUGCUGUCAAGCACCGGGUCUGUAAUAAAGAACAUAUCUCAACCGGAUCUUGAUCCAUGUUGACACCGACCUUGAGUUUUUGAAGGAAGCUCAUUCUGCUUACUCACAUGGUGGCGUGGGGGAACUGUUGAACUUGAAGAUGCGCCUUUACCAGGUGGCUAAAGGUGUAUGACUUGGAACCCAUAAUUCUUACCAUCAUCACUUUAACUUCUUGGUCUAAGGUUUAAAGGUGGUUUCUUUUGUCAAAAAGAACAUGUAUGAGAAUGAUUGGAUAUGGUGGUGGUGGUAAUAGAGACAUCGUUUUGUGUAGCAAGUGUAAAUUGUCAAGGACUGCUUUUCUAGGGUUUUUUUUUUUUAUUUUUUUUUUAUGCCAUUGUGUCAUCUCCCCUUUUUAACUCAAAGGGGGACCAGUAGUGGAACAGUUUGGACAUAUAUUAGCGUUGCUCUGGAGGAUGAUGAAGUUUGUUCAUACUGUUUGUAGAUUUGUUUCAUUUGUAUUGCAUGCUUACCUCAUUAUAUGAUUCCAUAUAUUAGUAAAUUAUGGUAAGCGUUGAGUAA